rnacentral:rRNA from 1 species
GGAUGAGCCCGCGGCCUAUCAGCUUGUUGGUGGGGUAAUGGCCUACCAAGGCGACGACGGGUAGCCGGCCUGAGAGGGCGACCGGCCACACUGGGACUGAGACACGGCCCAGACUCCUACGGGAGGCAGCAGUGGGGAAUAUUGCACAAUGGGCGAAAGCCUGAUGCAGCGACGCCGCGUGAGGGAUGACGGCCUUCGGGUUGUAAACCUCUUUCAGCAGGGAAGAAGCGCAAGUGACGGUACCUGCAGAAGAAGCGCCGGCUAACUACGUGCCAGCAGCCGCGG